UUGAUAUUCAUUUGUGGAAAUUCUUUUUCCUUUGAAAGUGGUGUAGGGUCAUCCUCCAUCUGAAGAAUAAGGCAGUGAUUCAGGAGGUUCUGAGAAGUGGCCCUGAGUACCUGGGAACAGGAAGACUCACUCUGCAAUGCUGGAGACUUCUGGAGAAUGAAAGAAAUUACUUCUGUUGGCAAAAAGACAGUUUUCAUUGUGGCUACCGAGUGGGCCAGUGCCGAGCGCUAGGAGGGUAAGGACCUUCCAUCCUCCUCCACCGCCCAGCGACUGUGAUGCCAUCACAGGGACACUGUACCUCCACCUUGGGGCAGCGAUCUGGAAGGUGAAGGGCCAUCACUUGAGUUUUUAAGAGUCAAGUUCUGCAAAGCAGGGUAGUUGGCCUUCGUGUUCUGACGCACACAUACUCGGCCAGCUUGACCUGGGACCAGUAGCCUCAGAAUGCACAGGUGGACCACUCUGUCCUUGGACUUGUUGGGCACACAGGAGGCUGUUCCCCAGCGUCUUCAGAAGUGUUUUCAAAUGACGCGCCCGUGAAGUACUUUCCGGAUUCGUUUCUCCUCAUUUGUAGCGUGUCCAUUUGAUAUGCUGCUCUGGUUUAUCGUUGCGAGCCUCCUUAGGUUAGGAGCUCACAAAGGAAAGUUUUGUGUUCGAGUUUUAUGCUCAAUGGAUUUUUAUUGACCUGCAACUAACCUGAGCUUUCUUCCACCGAUUUCAAAGUUAACCACAUGGCACAGUCACAGACACUGAGAGGCUGCCUGGAACUCGGGGUCCUCGCCCAAUGCCUACAUGAGAGAUGGCACCUGUUGCUCUCCUUCCUUCCUUGCUCUUUCCUUUCCCAUCGUCACAUCCUGGAACAUAGAGACUUACCCUUGUUCCUGCACCUCAGCUAGGCUGAUAACCACUUCCUCCCUCGUCUGCUGGAUGGUCAGUCAAGGAGAUCGAUUGAUCGGCUUCCCGAUUUGGCACAUCGCCUCACCCCUGGAAGACAGCGGCCCCUGCCAAUCCUCCAGAACAGCCAGAAGAGAAAUGAGAGGCCUGCUCGGGCCUAUCUGCUUCCCUGCUGACUCUAAUUACCCAGUCGGGAGUUUUACAAUCCCUCCCUCCCACCCGCCCCCAAGUUGUGAUGGUCGACUCUGCACUCUGCAGACUUUGGCUGGGUCUUUCUUUUGUGUGCCCACUGCUGCCAAGUGCAUUGGGCUCCUAAUGAGGUUUGACACUAAUGGAGCUGUGAGACAGUGUGAUUAUGGGUCCUCCCCCCAUGCAGCUCAGACCUGGCAGGAAAUGACCCCAGACUCUGCACCCUUCCACUCCACCCCCCCCACCCCGCCCCCGCCGAUUCUGUUGAAACCAUCUUCAGCAGCCAGCUGGAGCCCACCGACCCCCCCUUUCUCACUGCAGUUCCCUCUUCCCUCCAUCAUCCUGCAGGUGGCUGAAAAUAAGAUUUUAUGGCCUGAUGCAUGGUGGGUUGGUUGA
rnacentral:lncRNA from 12 species